GCGUGCGAGUCUUUGGGUGCAACCCGACGGCGCAAUGAAAGUGAAGGCAGGCGUUGGUCUGCUCAGGCGAGAGUCCUCUCGUGGGGACACAUCGUCAACCGAUCCCAGGUCACGCUGUGGCGGGAUUUGAGUGAGAGCGUGCCUGUUGCGACCCGAAAGAUGGUGAACUAUGCCUGAAUAGGGUGAAGCCAGAGGAAACUCUGGUGGAAGCUCGUAGCGAUUCUGACGUGCAAAUCGAUCGUCAAAUUUGGGUAUAGGGGCGAAAGACUAAUCGAACCAUCUAGUAGCUGGUUCCCUCCGAAGUUUCCCUCAGGAUAGCUGGAGCCCGGUGCAGUUUUAUCAGGUAAAGCGAAUGAUUAGAGGUCUUGGGGUUGAAACAACCUCAACCUAUUCUCAAACUUUAAAUGGGUAAGAAGCUUGGCUUGCUUAACUGAAGUCAUGCAUUGAAUGCCGGGGCUCCUAGUGGGCCAUUUUUGGUAAGCAGAACUGGCGAUGUGGGAUGAACCAAAUGCUGGGUUAAGGUGCCCRAWUCRACGYUCAUCARAUACCAUGAAAGGU
rnacentral:rRNA from 1 species